GAUGAACGCUGACAGAAUGCUUAACACAUGCAAGUCUUUGGCGAAUCUGUGCUUGCACAGGCUAGCCAAGGCGGACGGGUGAGUAACGCGUAAAGAACUUGCCCUGCAGACAGGGAUAACAGACGGAAACGACUGAUAACACCUGAUACAGUUGCCGGCACGCAUGUGCCUGGCAAUGAAAAGAGAUGCUGCAGGAGAGCUUUGCGUCCUAUUAGCUUGUUGGUGAGGUGACGGCUCACCAAGGCGAUGAUAGGUAGCCGGCCUGAGAGGGUGAACGGCCACAAGGGGACUGAGAGACGGCCCUUACUCCUACGGGAGGCAGCAGUGGGGAAUAUUGGACAAUGGGGGCAACCCUGAUCCAGCAAUUCUGUGUGCAAGAAGAAGGUUUUCGGAUUGAAAAGUGCUUUCAGCAGGGAAGAAGAAAGUGACGGUACCUGCAGAAGAAGCGACGGCUAAAUACGUG
rnacentral:rRNA from 1 species